UUGUUACUGCUCUUAUUACAAGGUCAAGAUGGGUCCAGGGACCUAAAGUUGGCUGGAGCCCGCUGGUGGGAUUCAAUGAUAAGAUGAGAAAAGAGAGAUAAAACCACAAUGCAUUUAUAUUUCAAGAAUUGUGAGCUUAACUGAAAUGUUAUCACCUAAGGGUCCACGUGGAGAUGACAGUGAUAGAAGAUGAAGAAACUUUGUCCAGAUGUUCUGGGUAACUGGAAUGUGAAUAUCCACAGGUAUUUGUUGAAAGAAUAAAUGCAUGCCAAGAGAAGGGGAGGCACAGUGGAAGGCAUUGGCAUCCUUUUAACAGUGAAGUACUGUAUCUGUGAAAGCAUUACAGAAUGGUAGGAAAAUAAACUUUGGCUGUAUAUCCAAGGCUUAGAAGGAAUUAAGACGGGACAGAAGGAACUCAGGUUGCUGCCAUCUGAGAGCAGAAGGGAAAGAAGAGGACAUUCCCCAACUCUUCCCAUCCUGCUUGGGUUUGGUUUGGCUUGGUUUCCUUUGCAAUUUCCAUUGGCCCCAGCAAGCAUUUAAGCG
rnacentral:lncRNA from 1 species